rnacentral:misc_RNA from 1 species
GUAGGUGAACCUGCGGAAGGAUCAUUAUUGAUUUAAAGAUGUGCUGGCACUCCCUCACAGGUUUGCAUGUGCACUCUAAAAUCUCCUUCUCUUACCCCACUGUGCACACUCCAGUAGGCAAGCAAGUCCACAGAGCACCUGUGAAUUCUCAUUUGCCUAUGUUUUUAUCAAACACCAAUAACAUGUAAGAAUGAUCUAUGUAGUAAGCUUUUGACAAGCUGAAAUCUAAUACAACUUUCAACAAUGGAUCUCUUGGUUCUC